AUUGAACGCUGGCGGAAUGCUUUACACAUGCAAGUCGAGCGGCAGCGCGGUCUUCGGACUGGCGGCGAGCGGCGAACGGGUGAGUAAUACAUCGGAACAUGCCCAGUCGUGGGGGAUAACACUUCGAAAGAAGUGCUAAUACCGCAUACGUCCUGAGGGAGAAAGCGGGGGAUCGCAAGACCUCGCGCGAUUGGAGUGGCCGAUGUCAGAUUAGCUAGUUGGUGGGGUAAAGGCCUACCAAGGCAACGAUCUGUAACUGGUCUGAGAGGAUGAUCAGCCACACUGGGACUGAGACACGGCCCAGACUCCUACGGGAGGCAGCAGUGGGGAAUUUAGGACAAUGGGGGCAACCCUGACCCAGCCAUUCCGCGUGAGUGAAGAAGGCCUUCGGGUUGUAAAGCUCUUUCGGCAGGAACGAAACGGCGAGCUCUAACAUAGCUCGCUAAUGACGGUACCUGAAGAAGAAGUACCGGCUAACUACGUGCCAGCCGCCGCCUAACAC
rnacentral:rRNA from 1 species